rnacentral:rRNA from 1 species
GUGGGGAAUCUUAGACAAUGGGGGAAACCCUGAUCUAGCCAUGCCGCGUGAUCGAAGAAGGCCUUCGGGUUGUAAACUUCUUUUAUGAGGGACGAAGGACGUGACGGUACCUCAUGAAUAAGCCACGGCUAACUACGUGCCAGCAGCCGCGGUAAUACGUAGGUGGCGAGCGUUGUCCGGAUUUACUGGGUGUAAAGGGCGCGUAGGCGGACUGGCAAGUCAGAUGUGAAAUACAGGGGCUCAACCCCUGAACUGCAUUUGAAACUGUUGGUCUUGAGUAUCGGAGAGGCAAGCGGAAUUCCUAGUGUAGCGGUGAAAUGCGUAGAUAUUAGGAGGAACACCAGUGGCGAAGGCGGCUUGCUGGACGACAACUGACGCUGAGGCGCGAAAGCGUGGGGAGCAAACAGGAUUAGAUACCCUAGUAGUCC